GAAUUGGGUACGGGGGGGGUCUCUAGAGAUUAGAGUUUGAUCCUGGCUCAGAUUGAACGCUGGCGGCAGGCUUAACACAUGCAAGUCGAGCGGUAACAGAGAGAAGCUUGCUUCUCUGCUGACGAGCGGCGGACGGGUGAGUAAUGCUUGGGUAUCUGCCUUAUGGAGGGGGACAACAGUUGGAAACGACUGCUAAUACCGCAUAAUAGCUUCGGCUCAAAGAGGGGGACCUUCGGGCCUCUCGCGUCAGGAUAUGCCCAGGUGGGAUUAGCUAGUUGGUGAGGUAAUGGCUCACCAAGGCGACGAUCCCUAGCUGGUCUGAGAGGAUGAUCAGCCACACUGGAACUGAGACACGGUCCAGACUCCUACGGGAGGCAGCAGUGGGGAAUAUUGCACAAUGGGCGCAAGCCUGAUGCAGCCAUGCCGCGUGUAUGAAGAAGGCCUUCGGGUUGUAAAGUACUUUCAGCAGUGAGGAAGGUGGAUAUGUUAAUAGCAUAUUCAUUUGACGUUAGCUGCAGAAGAAGCACCGGCUAACUCCGUGCCAGCAGCCGCGGUAAUACGGAGGGUGCGAGCGUUAAUCGGAAUUACUGGGCGUAAAGCGCAUGCAGGUGGUUUGUUAAGUCAGAUGUGAAAGCCCGGGGCUCAACCUCGGAAUUGCGUUUGAAACUGGCAAACUAGAGUACUGUAGAGGGGGGUAGAAUUUCAGGUGUAGCGGUGAAAUGCGUAGGGAUCUGAAGGAAUACCGGUGGCGAAGGCGACCACCUGGCCAAUAACUGACACUGAGACGCGAAGGCGUGGGUAGCAAACAGGAUUAGAUACCCUGGUAGUCCACGCCGUAAACGAUGUCUACUUGGAGGUUGUGGCCUUGAGCCGUGGCUUUCGGAGCUAACGCGUUAAGUAGACCGCCUGGGGAGUACGGUCGCAAGAUUAAAACUCAAAUGAAUUGACGGGGGCCCGCACAAGCGGUGGAGCAUGUGGUUUAAUUUCGAUGCAACGCGAAGAACCCUUACCUACUCUUGACAUCUACAGAAGCCAGCGGGAGACGCAGGUGGUGCCUUCGGGAACUGUAAGACAGUGCUGCUUGCUGUCGUCAGCUCGUGUUGUGAAUUGUUGGGUUAAGUCCCCGCACGAGCGCAACCCUUUAUCCCUUGUUUGCCAGCACCUUCGG
rnacentral:rRNA from 1 species